AGUAACACGUGGGUAACCUGCCCAAGAGAUCGGGAUAACACCUGGAAACAGAUGCUAAUACCGGAUAAAAGCUACUUUCGCAUGAAAGAAGUUUAAAAGGCGGCGUAAGCUGUCGCUAAAGGAUGGACCUGCGAUGCAUUAGCUAGUUGGUAAGGUAACGGCUUACCAAGGCGAUGAUGCAUAGCCGAGUUGAGAGACUGAUCGGCCACAUUGGGACUGAGACACGGCCCAAACUCCUACGGGAGGCAGCAGGC
rnacentral:rRNA from 1 species